rnacentral:lncRNA from 1 species
UCGAAUGUAAUUGGAAUUUAAUUUUAAUUUUUAUACUUUCUAUUUUACAGGCUCGAGUCAAUGCAUGAGUACAAUUUCGCGUCACACUGUAUAUGUCACGGUGGGAAUGUUUGUACUUCCAUGAAGGGACAUGGUAUUGAUGUACAACAACAAAAAUGGUUGUCAUUGACCUAUAAAAUGCAAAAAAUUUGCUGCUAUGCACAAACUCAACUUGGUCAUGGCUUCAACAUACAAGGCCUUGAAACCACUACAACAUUUGACCAUAAGGCUGAUGAAUCUGUAGUUCAUACUCUAACAUUGACUUUAAGCGAAGUAAGAAACAUGAUAGAUAAGAGGUUGGUAAUGUUUCAUGUUCCUGUUAAACAUUGGGACAAAUGCUUUUUCACUACACAUCUAAUUAUUGUAUUAUAGUUGUUUUCUUAUCCACUUACGUUUCUAAUUUCUUAUGCUAUAUUUUAUGUAUCUUCCUCGAAUUCCUCAAAUUUGUUCUAUAUUUUCUGUCUUAUUUUCCGAAUAGUGGUGUCCUGAUGGACUAGGUAAAUUGUCCACCCAUGCGGUUGUUUAUGCAUGCCAUUACAAUGGUAAAGAUCAUGGAGUUCAUGGUAAGAAUAUAUAGCCUCUAUUGACAUUGAUAUCC